rnacentral:rRNA from 1 species
AGAUUGAACGCUGGCGGCAUGCCUAACACAUGCAAGUCGAACGGGAGUAGCAAUACUCUAGUGGCGGACGGGUGAGGAAUACGUAGGAAUUUGCCCUUAAGUGGGGGAUAACCCGGGGAAACCCGGAUUAAUACCGCAUGACCUCGAAAGAGCAAAGUGGGGGAUCGCAAGACCUCACGCUUUUGGAGAAGCCUACGUCGGAUUAGCUAGUUGGUGAGGUAAUGGCUCACCAAGGCGACGAUCCGUAACUGGUCUGAGAGGAUGAUCAGUCACACCGGAACUGAGACACGGUCCGGACUCCUACGGGAGCAGCAGUGGGAAUAUUGGACAAUGGCGCAAGCCUGAUCCAGCAAUGCCGCGUGUGGUAGAA